rnacentral:lncRNA from 1 species
AGAAGAAGCAAAGGUGUCUCAUGGUUUCUAUAAACGUGGCGGCGAAAAUUGGAUGAUAUGGAUGAAAUUGAAAUCAAGAACAUAGGUGACCAAGAAAAAAUAGCAAGAAUUAACAUACAUUUAUCUGCUUCACCUCACAAACAUCACUUUCAGGGAAGGAGGAGUCUUGCACCUAUGACCAUAUGAACACAUACCCUAACCACAUCUCACCAACAACCACUUAUCACCAAGCCAAGUUUCACCGACCGACGUGUCACCCAACCACUUUUCACUCAACCACACUUCUCCCGACUACGAAACGCAAGAACCACCACAACGAAUAAGGCGGAGGUGGUGUCCACGCCGGCGUAAU